AUGAACCCUCCAGGAGGUGUCUGGUCUGAUGACAAGGAUGCCACGGGAACUCCAGGCAAUCCAAUCCUUCAGGAUACCCAUCCAAAACGCUAUGAUGUGUUCUACUACUCAAAUUCAGUUUCAUUUGUGUCGUCUGUGGUCGUCACAAUAUUACUUGUGAAUAAGGAAUCCUGUGAGUAUGGAAUCAAGUCCUAUGCACUGCGAGUGUGUUUGGUGGCGGGCUUGCUUGGCCUCCUCAUUGCCUAUGUUGCUGGAAGUUGCAGAAAUAUUAAACAGUCCAUAUAUCUGAGCAUCAUUGCUAUGGCAGUUCUAGUGUCACUUCUGAUUCAAGUUCUGCUCUCUUCAAUGCAUGGCACACUAGGAAGACCAUUGGCUAAGUGUCUAGUGUUUCUACACGAUCUUCUCUUUCAUGCGGAGGGUGAACGAGUAAUAACUCACAUGAGGCCAGUAGCUUCAGUUGUCGAAGAAAAAAAAGUGAGAAAGAGACACAAGUAUCUGAUGCUUCUUGCAAUUUUAGCAGCAUCGAUCGCAUACCAAGCUGGUCUGAACCUACCUGGUGGAUUCUGGUCUGAUGAUGAGGGCCAUGUACCAGGCAAUCCCGUCCUUCGUGAUAUUAAUCACCGACGGUACAAGAUCUUCUUCUGGUUCAAUUCUUUCGCUUUCAUGGCAUCCAUUGUCGUGAUCAUGCUUCUGCUGAGUAAAUCUAUCAGGAAGGCUGUGCCACUUGGGGUAUUGCACUUGAUCAUGAUACUGGAUAUGUUGGCUCUCAUGACAGCUUUUGCUGUGGGAAGCUGCCGCAAAUUGAGGACUUCAGUGUAUGUCUAUGCACUAGUUGGCGGCGUUGUAGUAAUCCUGCUGCUCCUAAUUAUUGUGACAAGUGCAAUUGCAAAAUAUCGGAAGCCAAGAGAGGGAAAUGGGAUUAACUCCCCGAGACAUCCUGAACCUGUUUCAGGAGCAAACACACCAGCACGACCUGAAGUUUGA
rnacentral:rRNA from 1 species